rnacentral:rRNA from 1 species
GAUGAACGCUAGCUACAGGCUUAACACAUGCAAGUCGAGGGGAAACGACAUCGCAAGCUUGCUUUUGAUGGGCGUCGACCGGCGCACGGGUGAGUAACUCGUAUCCAACCUGCCCACCACUUGGGGAUAACCUUGCGAAAUUAAGACUAAUACCCAAUGAUAUCUCUAGAAGACAUCUGAAAGAGAUUAAAGAUUUAUCGGUGAUGGAUGGGGAUGCGUCUGAUUAGCUUGUUGGCGGGGUAACGGCCCACCAAGGCAACGAUCAGUAGGGGUUCUGAGAGGAAGGUCCCCCACAUUGGAACUGAGACACGGUCCAAACUCCUACGGGAGGCAGCAGUGAGGAAUAGUGGGCAAUGGACGAGAGUCUGAACCAGCCAAGUAGCGUGCAGGAAGACGGCCCUAUGGGUUGUAAACUGCUUUUAUAAGGGAAUAAAGUGAGUCUCGUGAGACUUUUUGCAUGUACCUUAUGAAUAAGAACCGGCUAAUUCCGUG